UACCCCAGGUGAACGGUACACUCUGUCCUGUGAAGGCGCUGCAGCUGGUGGAAUUGACCCUCAGGAAGCGAAGUUCUCCCUGCAGUACGACAGCUACCAGCCAACAUUUAGAGUGAGUUUAGCCAACAGAAGGGAGGUUCAGCUUGGUCUAAGAGAAACCGCAGCAGAUCAACAAGUCUGGGACUGUCAUGUCAAACUUCCAGACACAGAACUCCUUGAGGGGGAUGAGCUCAGUGAGUACAACUUCAGUAGUGGCUAUCGAGUUGACUGUUUGAUCAUCAACAAUGUCAGGUUUCCCAAUAAUGAGCGACAAGGAUCCGAUGUUGAU